GGGUCGGUGCCCGAGCGGACAAAGGGAGCAGACUGUAAAUCUGCCGGCUACGCCUACGAAGGUUCGAAUCCUUCCCGGCCCA
rnacentral:tRNA from 1 species